rnacentral:tRNA from 1 species
GCUCCAGUGGCGCAAUCGGUUAGCGCGCGCUACUUAUAAGGCAGUAUCUGUUGAGCAAUGCCGAGGUUGUGAGUUCAAGCUUCACCUGGAGCA